GUCUGAGAUGCUGCAUGUCCUACAAGCUUCCAGCUGGAGUCCAAGCUGCUGGUCCCCAGGGACCACCCUCUGCAUAGCAAGACCUGAGCCGCGCAGGUAGGUCUGCACAACCCCAAACAAGGGGCAGGACGAUGCUGAGCCCACCCUCACAUCAACCCAUCUGGAUGCACCUGCAAACGAGACACAGGGCUCCUUUGGCGUCACGCACCCGAGCUGAGCUCCAGCCUUCCAUCCCCUGCCUGGGGAGGGUGCUGGCAAGGAGGCGUUAGCCUGUGUCCCUCUGCUGUCAUCAGAGUCCAGGCACAAGAGCCUUCCCAGCUGUACCUUCUUGUGUAUCUUGAACCUUCUACAACUCUUCUUUUUAAGGUGCAGGGCGGAGGUGUGGGCUCCUGCAGGUGGGCCAGCUGAGCCUACAGCCAUCUGGUCUGGGUCUUGAUGUCGCUGUGACCAAGCCUAUCUCAGAGGCCAUGGAAACUGAAAUCUACUCGGAGCGACAAUGAUGCCAGCACAGCCCAGUGGAGGCACAGAGGUGUGGGCAGCACAAUUUUUAUUGUUUCUUCUUCAUUUAACAGUUCUUCUUAAACCCA